rnacentral:RNase_P_RNA from 1 species
AGAGCAGCCCGGGCAGCCGCGGCGGGGAACGGGAAACCGUCCGCCCGUCGAGGAAAGUCCGGACACCGUAGAGCAGGGUGCUGGAUAACGUCCAGCGGGGGAAACCCUAGGGAAAGUGCCACAGAAAUGACACAGCCGCGGCCGGCAACGGACGUUGGCAACGGUGAAAUGGUGCGGCAAGAGCGCACCGGCGCCACGGUGACGUGGCGGCCAGGUAAACCCCACCCGGUGCAAGGCCCAGAAGGGGGCGUCUGAGGGUUGCUCGCCCGAAGCUCCCGGGUUGGCCGCAGGAGGCGUGCGGCAACGCAGGCCCCAGAUGGAUGGCUGCCCACGACAGAAUCCGGCUUACAGGGCUGCUACUGCG